rnacentral:tRNA from 1 species
GGGCCCGUGGUCUAGUGGCUAUGAUGCGACUCUUACAAAGUCGAGGUCGUCGGUUCAAUUCCGGCCGGGCCCA